rnacentral:rRNA from 1 species
UAGGGCGUUUAGUAUUUGGUCGUAGACCCGAAACCAGGUGAUCUACCCUUGGUCAGGUUGAAGUUCAGGUAACACUGAAUGGAGGACCGAACCGACUUACGUUGAAAAGUGAGCGGAUGAACUGAGGGUAGCGGAGAAAUUCCAAUCGAACCUGGAGAUAGCUGGUUCUCUCCGAAAUAGCUUUAGGGCUAGCCUCAAGUGAUGAUUAUUGGAGGUAGAGCACUGUUUGGACGAGGGGCCCCUCUCGGGUUACCGAAUUCAGACAAACUCCGAAUGCCAAUUAAUUUAACUUGGGAGUCAGAACAUGGGUGAUAAGGUCCGUGUUCGAAAGGGAAACAGCCCAGACCACCAGCUAAGGUCCCAAAAUAUAUGUUAAGUGGAAAAGGAUGUGGCGUUGCCCAGACAACUAGGAUGUUGGCUUAGAAGCAGCCAUCAUUUAAAGAGUGCGUAAUAGCUCACUAGUCGAGUGACACUGCGCCGAAAAUGUACCGGGGCUAAACAUAUUACCGAAGCUGUGGAUUGUCCUUUGGACAAUGGUAGGAGAGCGUUCUAAGGGCGUUGAAGCAUGAUCGUAAGGACAUGUGGAGCGCUUAGAAGUGAGAAUGCCGGUGUGAGUAGCGAAAGACGGGUGAGAAUCCCGUCCACCGAUUGACUAAGGUUUCCAGAGGAAGGCUCGUCCGCUCUGGGUUAGUCGGGUCCUAAGCUGAGGCCGACAGGCGUAGGCGAUGGAUAACAGGUUGAUAUUCCUGUACCACCUAUAAUCGUUUUAAUCGAUGGGGGGACGCAGUAGGAUAGGCGAAGCGUGCGAUUGGAUUGCACGUCUAAGCAGUAAGGCUGAGUAUUAGGCAAAUCCGGUACUCGUUAAGGCUGA